UAUAAUUAAGCAAUAAAAUUGAAAAGGGGAAUUUAGGGUUACUUGUGGCUAUCGGACUUGCAAGCUCGUCUUCUCUUUCUCCCUCAUGGCAACACGGCGGCGGAGAUUCCUCCGAUCUUCACUCAUCUCAAUCGGAAACAAGUCUGGUACUUCUUCACUCUUGGUUCGACGACAAGAAAUCCAGAGAUAAAGUAUUUCACAAACGAGUUUGAUUAUCGAUCCUUCUUCUUCCCUUUUUGGCGAACUCUACGUGAUGCUGAGGCGAUGACGUCGAAGAUCGAGUGAGGGCGAACAAUGAUGAACGGAUUGAAGCUAUGGCCGUUUUGCAAUGCUGUCGACUCGUUCGUCCUGUAACAUUGCGGUGAAGAUGCUGAAAUCGUUGUGUUGACGACGAAGAAUGUGGCGAUGUAUGAACUUAGUGAAGAUUUAGAGGACGAACGAAGAAUUUCGGAUAAUCUUCAGAGGUUGAUGAACGUGAUUGCAGGUUAAAGGUGUUGCAGCUGAUUGACGAAUAUUGAUGGAAGGAGAUGGAUUAUGCGGAUUAUGAUGUUGUUGAGACGAUAGUGAAGAACACCAAUGAAGAGAAUUGUGAGCUUUUUUUUUUGAUCUUCUGUUAUGAGAUAUGAAGAGAGGAUUGAAGAGUGUGAUUGGAGAUUGAGAGAAUCAAAGAAAAUUGUGAAGAAGGUGAGCAAGAGAGAAGAGAUGAAGAUGAUUGAUGAUGAUUGCAGAGAAGAAGCUGAAGAAUGGAACAAAUUGAAAGGGGAGGAAAUGGAGAUCGAAGGAGGUUGAGUGUAUGUGAACAAUGGUGAAGAAGGAAUGGUCCAGAUGAUGAAUGGCGUGAUCGAAGAGAUGGAAGAAGAUGGUUCAAAGAGAAGAAAGGAAGAUCAAUGAUGAAGAAGAUGAAAAAUGGUGGAGAGGUUGAUGAGAGUGGUUGGAGUGUGGAGAUAAAGAAGAAUGGGGAGAAUAAGAAAUGGAAUUUGAAGGUGAGUGAAUCAGAAAAAUGGUGGAGGCUGAGAAAUUGGAAGAAUGGUUGAAUUGAAGAGUGAAGAAUGUUGAAGAGGGAGCUCAAGAACUGAAGCCAAAUUCUGAUUUAUAGAGGUGAGUUCCCUCUCUGAUUUUUCUGUUUGGAUUCAGUUGUAGAUUGUUAGGUUGGUUAGAGACCCUAGGUUUUUUCUGUUACAUUCAGUUAGUAUUUUGUAACUGAUUUCUGUUUGAGUUAGUUUGCUGUUAUAGGUUCUGUUAUUGGAAAAAGGGUAGUUAGGAGGUAGUUAGUUGUUAUAACUAACUUUUUGGUGGCUGUUAGAAAUAGGCUAGGGGUUAUGCUGAAUCAAUGGUUAGAAUUUAGUCAGGAUUAGAGAAAAAAAUGGUUUCGAAGGGUUAUGUUUGGACAGGUUUAUUUGCAGUGAUUUUGGGUGAUGUUUAUGACUAUGCAGGCUUUGAAUUGAUGUUUGAAUUGUUUGGUAAAUGUAUAUGUAGGUGGGGCUGAAUAAGGGACUGUUUUGAAUGGCCUAGAAAUUUGGAGAUAACAAAGUACAAGUGGGAGCAGAAGUCGUACAGGUGAAGAGGUUUAAGAAGUCUAUGGAAGUUUCGGACAGAGGUCAAAGGGCAAAGUCAAACUCUGAUUAAAUUAUGUCAAGAGUGUAUUCUUUUGUAAAUUCAAUUUUACAAUGUAUUUGGGUCUUGAAUGGUAUACUUAUAAGUAAAAGUUUGACAUUGUAUAGACUUAUUCAAAUAAUGAGAAGUUUGCAUCCAUUCUUUGAAUGUAAUUUUCCAUGUCUUUUCCACUUUUGUGUAAUGUCCUUGUAUUGGAUUUUGAAAUGGAUCUUCUAUCUUUGAAUGAAUUUAAGGUGCAGUUAGUGGUUGAAACAAAGUCAAAGUGCGAUCCCUUGAAUAUUUCAUAAAGUUCUUUUUUUUUCUCAAAUUCAAGUAUGCUUUCACUUUUUCAUAUACUCAAUUUUGACUCUCAAAGCUUGUUUCAAUUUGCACCAAGAGUUGCUUGCGAGACGCCACUGAAUUACCAAGCCAUAACGGAUGAAUUAAAUCUUUAAAGAACGAAUCAUCUCUUUGAACAUCUGACUAUCAAACCAUGAGAUAAGUUCAAUAAACCAAUCUCUCACUAAUUAUUUAGAGAGAUAAACUCUAAGCCAUAAAUUUCAUUUGGUUAUUUAAUUAAUGAACCAUGAAAGUCAUCUGAUUAAAUGCCAGAAACCGCCUUCUU